GGUAGGACUACCCGCUGAACUUAUCCAUAUCUAUAACUACGAGAAAGAACAUUACCUAGUUCUGAAAGGGGUUGUAGCUAGCCUUCGGGGCAAGGACACCCCCGCUCAUCCCUCUACACCUGUGCACUUACGGAUAGGUUUGGCGUGGGCCUUCG
rnacentral:rRNA from 1 species